UGUGUUGAUCGUUCGUGUUUACGCUUGGCUGUCGACUGAAAAGUGACGCUAAGCGCUAUAUUUUGAAUGAAGUUGUAGUGACAAUAUGCCGUAUUGUCUCGCAUUCGGGUGCACUUCGAGUGCUACGAAUACUUCAGGCCUUCAUUUCCAUGGAUUUCCCCGCGAUCUACCAAGAAGAAAGCUGUGGCUGGCGUAUUGUCGACGUGCUGAUGUCAAACUCAAAGACAUAAGCAAACACAGCACGUUGUGCUCCUUGCAUAUCUCGAAGAAUAAUUAUGAACGGGAUCCCGAGUUCAUGGCACAGUAUGGCUACACGAAAGCUAAACCCAAGCUUUUUAAGCAUGCCGUACCGGACAUUCCCCUGGCUAUCGACGGCACGAGCAAGAAUGUCACCAAAAGUGCCACGUUCACCGAGAGGGGGGCUUUUUCAGGAGCGACGACGGUUAGAACAAAUAGAAGAUCUGAAAGAAGCAUAUGAUAGUUUCAAAGCAACUUAAGAUUGUGGACAGUCCGGAGGUACAGAUAUUCAACAUAUAUCAACAUUCGAGCCUGUUCAAACUUGUGUUCAGUCUGGCAGUGGAAAACACCAUUUCGAGUGUCAGGUGUCAUUGGCAGUUCCCAAGGCAAAAAUACAUCUUCGCACAAGACGGAUUCAGACAUUACCCGUCCGAAGACUCACAAGAUGCAUUCAGGCAAGACCGUGGCUGUACAGUGUGACCUGUACAAGAGGAGUGAGAUUGUGUUUAAAGAGGACAUAGAGGAAGAUAAGGCUGAGGAAACAAUCCAGAUUACUUCCCCAACACCAAUCCUGGUGAAAGAACUGAAAUCAUAUGUGUCUGAUGUAUUAAGAAGGUCUAUAGUACUUGAACCCUGCCACUUCUCCAGAUGGAAUGUAUUCCCUUGAUGAAAGAACAUUGGGCGUUCUGCCCCAGGCUCGCACCCACUGACCCCAAGCACGGAGGCAUGACAAUCUAAAUGACGUUACGCUAUAGACAGAUCAACGGUUACACAUUCAAACAUCGGUCUUUUAAGUAUCAAAAUCUGUAGAAUAGUAUGUAUGAAAUUCCUUUGAAAUAGUGA